CCUACGGGAGGCAGCAGUGAGGAAUAUUGGUCAAUGGUCGCGAGACUGAACCAGCCAAGCCGCGUGAGGGAUGACGGUACAGAGUAUCGUAAACCUCUUUUGUCAGGGAACAAAGGCGGGGACGCGUCCCCGUAUGAGUGUACCUGAAGAAAAAGCAUCGGCUAACUCCGUGCCAGCAGCCGCGGUAAUACGGAGGAUGCGAGCGUUAUCCGGAUUUAUUGGGUUUAAAGGGUGCGCAGGCGGUCGGUUAAGUCAGCGGUCAAAGCCAGGGGCUCAACCCCCGCCCGGCGGUGGAACCGGGUAGUUUCGAGGUGGAGAGAAGUAUGCGGAAUGCGGGGGGUAGCGGUGAAAUGCAUAG
rnacentral:rRNA from 1 species